GCCCCUAUCGUCUAGUUUGGUCUAGGACGCAUGGUUCUCAGCCAUGAAACUCGGGUUCAAAUCCCGAUGGGGGCA
rnacentral:tRNA from 2 species